CGAGACCUUCGGGUCUAGUGGCGCACGGGUGCGUAACGCGUGGGAAUCUGCCCUUAGGUACGGAAUAACUCAGAGAAAUUUGUGCUAAUACCGUAUGAUGUCGAAAGACCAAAGAUUUAUCGCCUAAGGAUGAGCCCGCGUAAGAUUAGCUUGUUGGUGAGGUAAAAGCUCACCAAGGCGACGAUCUUUAGCUGGUCUGAGAGGAUGAUCAGCCACACUGGGACUGAGACACGGCCCAGACUCCUACGGGAGGCAGCAGUGGGGAAUAUUGGACAAUGGGCGAAAGCCUGAUCCAGCAAUGCCGCGUGAGUGAUGAAGGCCUUAGGGUUGUAAAGCUCUUUUACCAGGGAUGAUAAUGACAGUACCUGGAGAAUAAGCUCCGGCUAACUCCGUGCCAGCAGCCGCGGUAAUACGGAGGGAGCUAGCGUUGUUCGGAAUUACUGGGCGUAAAGAGUACGUAGGCGGUUAUUCAAGUCAGAGGUGAAAGCCUGGAGCU
rnacentral:rRNA from 1 species